GCCUACGGGGCGCAGCAGUGAGGAAUAUUGGUCAAUGGUCGGGAGACUGAACCAGCCAAGCCGCGUGAGGGAUGAAGGCACAGAGUAUCGUAAACCUCUUUUGUUAGGGAACAAAGGCGGGGACGCGUCCCCGGAUGAGUGUACCUGAAGAAAAAGCAUCGGCUAACUCCGUGCCAGCAGCCGCGGUAAUACGGAGGAUGCGAGCGUUAUCCGGAUUUAUUGGGUUUAAAGGGUGCGCAGGCGGUCUGUUAAGUCAGCGGUCAAAGCCCGGGGCUCAACCCCGGCCCGCCGUUGAAACUGGCAGU
rnacentral:rRNA from 1 species